rnacentral:rRNA from 1 species
GACGAACGCUGGCGGCGUGCUUAACACAUGCAAGUCGAACGGAAAGGCCCUGCUUUUGUGGGGUGCUCGAGUGGCGAACGGGUGAGUAACACGUGAGUAACCUGCCCUUGACUUUGGGAUAACUUCAGGAAACUGGGGCUAAUACCGGAUAGGAGCUCCUGCUGCAUGGUGGGGGUUGGAAAGUUUCGGCGGUUGGGGAUGGACUCGCGGCUUAUCAGCUUGUUGGUGGGGUAGUGGCUUACCAAGGCUUUGACGGGUAGCCGGCCUGAGAGGGUGACCGGCCACUUUGGGUCUGAUAUACGCCCCAGACGCCUACGGGGGGCAGCUGUGGGGUAUAUUGCACAAGGGGGGGGAGUCUGAUGCAGCAACGCCGCGUGCGAGAUGGCGGCCUUCGGGUUGUACACCGCUUUCGCCUGUGACGAAGCGUGAGAGACGGUAAUGGAUAAAGAAGCACCGGCUAACUACG